AGUCCUUGUGAGGCUGUUUCCUUACCCUUUGAUGAGGUGUAGUCACAGCUUCAGAGGCUCCCCGCAAAGUUUUUGUCAUCAGUGAUGGAACACAAGAUGUAAGAGCUGAAGAGUUAUGAACACAAAUGUGAAACCUUGCCUACUGGAGCUGCCACUAGAAAGCCCGCCAACAUGGCAUUGGGACGAAUAUAAUCAAAGUCUCCCACCCCUAAACAGAGAAAAACAAAAUAUAGCAUAUGGCCAAAGUGAUUUAUCUUUAUACUUUUUUUAAUCUUUAAAAGAUAUUUAUUGCCCUAUAAUAUACCUACAGAAAAAUGCACUGACCCUCAGUGUACAUGAGAUUCUUUCAUAAAUUUCAUGUGUACAUGCGUACUUCAAGUGUACGUGAAAUGACCUCUGUUUAUAUUCCAUCACAAUGCCUGGACAAGACUUACUUAAUAUAAGUGAAAAAAUCA
rnacentral:lncRNA from 1 species